rnacentral:rRNA from 1 species
AGAGUUUGAUCAUGGCUCAGGACGAACGCUGGCGGCGUGCUUAACACAUGCAAGUCGAGCGGUGAAGCCCUUCGGGGUGGAUCAGCGGCGAACGGGUGAGUAACACGUGAGCAACCUACCCCUGACACUGGGAUAAGCCCGGGAAACUGGGUCUAAUACCGGAUAUGAUGACCGCAGGCAUCUGCGGACAUGGAAAGGAUUCUGGUCAGGGAUGGGCUCGCGGCCUAUCAGCUUGUUGGCGGGGUAACGGCCCACCAAGGCGACGACGGGUAGCCGGCCUGAGAGGGCGACCGGCCACACUGGGACUGAGACACGGCCCAGACUCCUACGGGAGGCAGCAGUGGGGAAUAUUGCGCAAUGGGCGAAAGCCUGACGCAGCAACGCCGCGUGGGGGAUGAAGGCCUUCGGGUUGUAAACCUCUUUCAGCAGGGAAGAAGCGAAAGUGACGGUACCUGCAGAAGAAGCACCGGCUAACUACGUGCCAGCCGCCGCGGUAAUUC